GUUCUGUCCGUAGAAUUUGGUUCCAUAAAUUGGUUUAGCGUAGCAGUAUUGCUCAGGGUGUGGCGGCUGUCCAGGUACAUGUGUGCCAGAAUUUUCUGAUAAAAUAAUGUCAAAAGCAGAGUGGGAUGGUUCUAAAUUUAUCCCUGAGAAUGUUUCCUAUCAAGGUAAUUUUCAUGCGUAUAUUAUAUUAACUGUGGUUUUCACUAGGGUAUUAAGUGUGUUGACAUGCAAUACAUGAUUUGAAAAGGAAGCCUCUGUACAUAUCUAGCAGCAUGUGUUCAACACAAGUCUACGAGUAGCAUGUACAACAUGGUGCUAUGCAGGCCUUCAUGAACGUUAUUUCCCCAUUUUCAGAUUUUCUACGUCAUCCUAAUCAAUUCCAAAUGUAACAUUGGGGGUCCAUAUCUCUACUUUUACACUUUCAUAUGCAAAACCAUGGCAGAGGAGCACUAACCAAUGACAAAAUCCUUGAGUGAUUCAUUGCUAUUCUGUCUGAACUUCCGGUGCAUCCAGCCCAGUAACUGCAUCAGAGAGUUUUAGGAGUUAACAACAGCAUGGAAGAUCAUUAUUACUCAGUAUAAUGGAUUUUGGAAUAUAAGCAGCUCUUCCAAGUCUCUAGUAGCCAAAAGUAAGAUGGCUUGAGAGAAACACAGAGAUAAUUACAAGAUUGUGGUUAUCAAGAUCAACUCAUGUGAUUGCUUGCCAGUGGGUCCUCAUUUCUUGAUGUAAGAAGUGAACAUUGCAUAGGUGCAUCCCCAUGGUUUUGUCAAACGGGUUAUAUACAUAGUGUCCGGAAAUGGAAUGACUUGAAUGCAUCAAAGGUACUACCAUUCCAUAAUAAGGAUUGUUUGCUUACAAUGUGAUGGCACUCUCAGGAAUAGUUGCAACUUGAAUCUGAUUUAAUCUUGGCUAGACUUCUGUUUUUUUCUAUGAAAACUAACUCGUUUGUUUUCUUACGGUUACCUUCUUUCCUUCUUCCUGA